UCCCUGGUGGUCCAGUGGUUAAGACUCUGUGCUUCCACUGCAGGGGACCUGGGUUCAAUCCUUGGUUAGGGAA
rnacentral:tRNA from 1 species